rnacentral:rRNA from 1 species
AACGAACGCUGGCGGCGUGGAUAAGACAUGCAAGUCGAACGGGAUUACUUCGAGUAGCAAUACCUGAAGUAAUUUAGUGGCGAACGGGUGCGUAACACGUGGGGAAUCUGCCGAGAAGUGGGGGAUAGCUCGUCGAAAGGCGAAUUAAUACCGCAUAUGAUCAGGGAAGACAUCUUUCCAACAUCAAAGCCGGGGCAACCUGGCGCUUCUUGAUGACCCCGCGGCCUAUCAGCUAGUUGGUGAGGUAACGCCACCAAGGCGAUGACGGUAGCUGGUCUGAGAGGACGACCAGUCACACUGGAACUGAGACACGGUCCAGACACCUACGGGUGCAGCAGUCGAGUAAUUUUUCNCAAGUGGGGCAACCCUGAAGGAGCGACGCCGCGUGGA